rnacentral:rRNA from 1 species
GAUGAACGCUGGCGGCGUGCCUAAUACAUGCAAGUCGAGCGAACAGACGAGGAGCUUGCUCCUUUGACGUUAUCGGCGGACGGGUGAGUAACACGUGGUUAACCUACCUAUACGACUGGGAUAACUUCGGGAAACCGGAGCUAAUACCGGAUAAUAUUUCGAACCGCAUGGUUCGAUAGUGAAAGAUGGCUCUGCUAUCACUUAUAGAUGGACCUUCGCCGUAUUAGCUAGUUGGUAAGGUAACGGCUUACCAAGGCAACGAUACGUAGCCGACCUGAGAGGGUGAUCGGCCAAACGGGAACUGAGAAACGGUCCAGACUCCGACGGGAGGAAGCAGUAGGGAAUCUUCCGCAAUGGGCGAAAGCCUGACGGAGCAACGCCGCGGGAGGGAUGAAGGUCUACGGAUCGUAAAACUCUGUUAUUAGGGAAGAACAAACGUGUAAGUAACUGUGCACGUCUUGACGGUACCUAAUCAGAAAGCCACGGCUAACUACGUG